UACGUAGGCAGCGAGCGUUGUUCGGAAUUACUGGGCGUAAAGAGUGUGUAGGCGGUGCUCUAAGUUCGGUGUGAAAUCUCCCGGCUUAACUGGGAGGGUGCGCCGGAAACUGGAGUGCUCGAGCGUGGGAGAGGAAAGCGGAAUUCCUGGUGUAGCGGUGAAAUGCGUAGAUAUCAGGAGGAACACCUGCGGUGUAGACGGCUUUCUGGACCGUUGCUGACGCUGAGACACGAAAGCGUGGGUAGCAAACAGG
rnacentral:rRNA from 1 species